rnacentral:lncRNA from 1 species
UGGACAGGAGCCUUCAUGGGGACCAGAUUUGGGCAGUGUAGAACUGCUUUGGCCAGGUGGACCUGUCCUCACACAGAACCUGCAUAUAGUGCUGGCACAAAGUCAACUAGGCAUAUCUAAAGCAAGGAAUCUUUUAAAGGUCAGACUCAUGAUCAUAUUUUCUUAAAAUAUUCCAUUAUAUAUAUAUAUAUAUAUUUCAUUUUAAACUUAAAAUACAGUAUUACUUACCAUACAGUGUAUUUAAUAUGUGUGUGUUUGUACAUUUAAAGGUUUAUAGCAUUGCAUCCCGAGGAGAGGGCAUGGUGUGCUCUUAGCCACUUGAGAAAAUGCCUAAGAAGGACGCAAAGAAGGACGCAAAGAAGGGGGGAAAACCUGAACCAGAGAAAAAGAAAGAGGAGGAAAAAAAAGGGAAGGAUGACAAAAAGGGAGGGAAAGAUGACAAGAAACCCAGCAAGGAUGAUAAAAAAGGUGGAAAGGAUGAUAAGAAAGGUGGGAAAGAUGAUAAGAAAGGGGGGAAGAAGGGAAAGGAGGAGCCAUCCAAGGGUAAAGAUGAUGGAAAGAAAGGGAAAGGUAAGAAAGUGGAGUCUGAGGAGGAAGAGGAUGAGCUUCUGAGUGAUGAAGAGGAUGAAGAGUUCAGUGAAGAAGAGGAGGAAGACUCAGAGGAUGACAGGAGAGGGAAAGGGCGAGGAGGCAAGGGGGCUAAGGGAAAGAAAGGGGGCAAGUCUAGACGUGGGGACUCAGAAGAGGAUGACUCAGAAGAUGAAGAGGAGGAUGACGACGACGAAGAGGAUUAUGGCAAAUCCAAAAAGAAAUCUAAAGACGGCAAACACCAUAAAGGAGGGAAAUCUGAUGCUGAUGCCAAGAAAAAGAAAGGCAAAAAAAAAGAGGAAGCUCUGCAGCUUCCGGUAAAGGAAAUGCCAAAGAAAGGUCUAAAGAACAUGUCCAGGAUGUUCAUGAAGUUUUCUGGCAUCAAGAGGCGCAGGAACAGCAGGAAGAAGCUGAAAAGUACAUCGCGUUUGUUCCUGGGGUUGGGGAAGAGAAAGAACCGCAUGGCUAAGAAGAAACGCCGCAAGUCCAUGCUCAAGAACACCUCUCGAUUCAUGAUGAGGUUUAAAGCCAGCAAGAAGAGGAAAAAGGAGAAGGAGGACAAAGAGAAGAAAAAUGAUGGGACGAAGCCCACCUAUAUGCUGCUUCGUCUGGGAGGCGGGAAAGAAUCAAAUGAGAAGAAGGGGGGCUUCUUCAAAAGCUUAUUUGGAAAAAAGAAUGGUGACGGACCUCCUGACGACUUCAAGAACAGAAGUGCAUUGUUGGGUAAGGUUGCAGCAGCAACUAACUGGCUGACUAAACGCUUUAUGUCCACUAAAAUGCAAGACAAUACAGAACAGGGACGUAGAGCACAUUCCCGACAAGCCAACUCCAGAGGUCACCACAAUGGUGGUUAUGAGUAUGAUGAGGAGGCUU